rnacentral:rRNA from 1 species
UACAGAGGGGGCAAGCGUUGUUCGGAAUUACUGGGCGUAAAGGGCGCGUAGGCGGCCUUUUAAGUCGAACGUGAAAUCCCUGGGCUCAACCCAGGAACUGCGUCCGAUACUGGAAGGCUUGAAUCCGGGAGAGGGAUGCGGAAUUCCAGGUGUAGCGGUGAAAUGCGUAGAUAUCUGGAGGAACACCGGUGGUGUAGACGGCUUUCUGGACCGUAACUGACGCUGAGACACGAAAGCGUGGGUAGCAAACAGG